AUACGAAGGGGGCUAGCGUUGUUCGGAUUUACUGGGCGUACAGCGCACGUAGGCGGAUUGAUUAGUUAGGGGUGAAAUCCCGAGGCUCAACCUCGGAACUGCCUUUAAUACUGUCAAUCUCGAGACCGGAAGAGGUGAGUGGAACUCCUAGUGUAGAGGUGGAAUUCGUAGAUAUUAGGAAGAACACCAGUGGCGAAGGCGGCUCACUGGUCCGGUACUGACGCUGAGGUGCGAAAGCGUGGGGAGCGAACAGGAUUAGAAACCCUAGUAGUCC
rnacentral:rRNA from 1 species